rnacentral:ribozyme from 1 species
AGUCGGUGCGCUCGAACAUGAAGGAGACAAACAAGAUCUGCGAGUCGAUGGCGUAUUCGCUGAUGGCGGGCGGG